rnacentral:rRNA from 1 species
GAUGAACGCUGACAGAAUGCUUAACACAUGCAAGUCAACUUGAACUUCGGUCUGGGUGGCGGACGGGUGAGUAACGCGUAAAGAACUUGCCUCACAGAUAGGGACAACAUUUGGAAACGAAUGCUAAUACCUGAUAUUAUGAUUAUAUGGCAUCGUAUAAUUAUGGAAGCUAUAUGCGCUGUGAGAGAGCUUUGCGUCCCAUUAGCUAGUUGGAGAGGUAACGGCUCACCAAGGCGAUGAUGGGUAGCCGGCCUGAGAGGGUGAUCGGCCACAAGGGGACUGAGACACGGCCCUUACUCCUACGGGAGGCAGCAGUGGGGAAUAUUGGACAAUGGACCAAGAGUCUGAUCCAGCAAUUCUGUGUGCACGAUGAAGUUUUUCGGAAUGUAAAGUGCUUUCAGUUGGGAAGAAAAAAAUGACGGUACCAACAGAAGAAGUGACGGCUAAAUACGUG